rnacentral:lncRNA from 1 species
ACAUAUUCAGAAGGCAUCUCACUGGAGAGGGUUUAGUUCUCCUUAGCAGAAGAUAAGAUUUCAAGAUUUCAGCUAAGACUCAUCUCUCUGCAAAUCUUUCUUUUGAGAGGAAGAACACACUUAGUGGUACAGCUUGGUGAGUUUUGAUAUGCACACAUGCAUGUAACUACCACUCCGGAUCAAGAUGAUAAGGAACAUCCCUAUCACUUCAGAAGGUGCCUUUUGCUCCACCCAGAGCAUCUUCACCAGGAGGAGAUUCCAUCUCAAGAGACCACUUUCACUGCUCAUAUGUAAGAAGCAACUCUUCAUCUGUUCAAGUUUGAUCAUGAGAGUGCGGCAAUUCAGUCACAACUUCAGGCUCCACUUCUAGUUCUAGUUCUCUUGCUGUUUCCACCACAUCUACAGCGACUUCCUCCACUGAAGACGUGAACCCCUGAAAGUCAUCUAUGGGGGUUGGAAUCAAUGUCUUUCACACUCCUGUUAAUGUUGGUAUUUUGACCUCCUCCCAUGAAUUACAAAUGUUCCUAAUGGCAUCUAGAAUAAUGACUACUUUCCAGAAGCUUUUCAAUUUGCUUUGCUCAGAUCCAUCAAUGGAAUCACUAUCAAUGGUAGCUAUAUAAACUAUAUAAGGCUAUAUAUAUAUAUAUAGCUAUUUCUUAAUAGCCUUAUGAAAUAUAUUUCUUAAUAAGACUUGAAAGUCUUGGUCCAUGGACUGCAGAAUGGAUGUUUGUGUUAGCAGGGAUGAAAACAACAUGAAUAUUCUCGUACAUCUCCAACACAGCUCUUGAUCGACAUGGUGCAGAGCAGUAAUAUUUUGAAAGGAAUCUUUUUUUCUGAGCAAUAGUUCUCAAUAGUGGGCUUGAAAUAUUCAGUAAACCAUGCUGUAAACAGAUGUGUUGUCAUCCAGGCUUUAUUGUUCCAUUUAUGGAGCACAGAUAGAGUAGAUUUCGCAUAAUUCUUAAUGACACCAGGAUUUACAAAAUAGUAAAUGAACAUUUACUUCAACUUAAAGUCAUCAGCUGCAUUCACCUCUAAAAAGAGAGUCAGCCUGUCCUGUGGAGCUUUGCAGCUUGCCUUGACAUCUCCUCUCUAGCUGUGAAAGUCCUGGAUGGCAUCUUCUUCCAACAUAAGACUGUUUUGUCUACACUGAAAAUCUGUUGUUUCGUGUAGACACUUUCAUCAAUUAUCUUAUCUAGAUUUUCUGGAUAACUUGCCACAGCUUCUCCCUUUGCACUUGCUGCUUCAUCUUGCAUUUUUAUGUUAUGGAGAUGUUGUCUUUCAUUAAACCUCACAAACCAACCUCCGCUAGCUUCAAACUUUUCUUCUGCAGCUUCCUCACCUCUCUCCGCCUUCAUAGCAUUGAAGAGAGUUAGAGUCUUGCUCUGGAUUAGGCUUUGACUUAAGGAAAUGUUGUGGCUGGUUGGAUCUUUUCUCCAGACCACUCAAACUUUCUCCAUAUUAGCAAUAUGGCUGCUUUGUUUUCUCUUCAUUUGCAUGUUCCCUGGAGUAGAGCUUAAAUAUCCUUCAAGAACUUUUCCUGUGAAGUCGCAAUUUGGCUAACUGGUGCAGAGGUGAGCUUUUGGCCUUGACUUUCAAUAUGUCCUCCUUACUAAGCUUAAUCAUUUCUAGAUUUUGAUUUAAAGUGAGAGACGUGGGACUUUUCCCUUCACUUGAACACUUAGAGGCCAUUGUAGGGUUAUUAAUUGGCUUAAUUUCAAUAUUAUUGUGUCUUGGGCUGGGCACAGUGGCUCAUGCCUGUAAUCCCAGCCCUUUGGGAA